UACGGGGGGGAGCAAGCGUUGUUCGGAUUUACUGGGCGUAAAGGGCGCGUAGGCGGCCAGCACAAGUCAGUUGUGAAAUCUCCGAGCUUAACUCGGAACGGUCAACUGAUACUGUGCGGCUAGAGUGCGGAAGGGGCAACUGGAAUUCUUGGUGUAGCGGUGAAAUGCGUAGAUAUCAAGAGGAACACCUGCGGCGAAGGCGGGUUGCUGGGCCGACACUGACGCUGAGGCGCGAAAGCCAGGGGGAGCAAACAGG
rnacentral:rRNA from 1 species